AUGAAUUGCAUAAGUUGGAACUGUCGGGGGGUGGCCAACAAACCGACAAUUCGAGAUUUGGUGACCCUUGUUAGGAGCACCAAUGCAAAGUUGGUCUUUCUGUGUGAGACUAGGCAAAAAGCAAAUAAAGUCGGUCGUUUGAGUAAUAGGUUAGGCUUGAGAGGUUUUGCUGGAAUUGAUAGUAAUGGUCUGAGCGGGGCCUUAGCCCUAUUAUGGUGUGAUCAAAUGCAUGUGGAAGUCAAAGAGGUUAAUGAAAGGUUUAUUGAUGCUCACGUCCAUGUGUCUGAUAAUGAUCCUCCUUGGCGUUUGACUUGUCUGUACGGCGAACCACGUGUUGAGAACCGGCAUCACAUGUGGUCUUUGAUGCAGAAGCUGAAAACACAGUCUGAUCUGCCUUGGUGUGUGAUGGGAGACUUUAAUGAAGCCAUGUGGUCGUUUGAACAUUUUUCGGUGACGCCGAGGAAUGAAAAUCAAAUGCUUGCUUUCCGUGAUGCACUGGAAACUUGUGAUCUUGCAGAUAUUGGUUUCUCUGGCAUAGCCCACACAUAUGAUAACAAAAGGAAGGGAAGGAAAAACGUGAAGGUUAGGCUGGACAGGGUGGUGGCCGACAACCGGUGGAGGGAUCUAUUCUCAGAUGCUGGUGUUGUGCAUUUGAUAAGCUCAUGUUCUGAUCAUAUCCCGCUCUUACUCAAGUGUGAACGUGAAUUGGUACAGCCAGACAUGCCUAAGUAUAAAAGAUAUGAG
rnacentral:rRNA from 1 species